rnacentral:misc_RNA from 1 species
GCUCCGUUGGUGAACCAGCGGAGGGAUCAUUACAGGACUCGCAAGACUCCUACAACCCUGUGAACUUAACUAUAAGCACGUUGCUUCGGCGGGUGUCUCGGAGAGGGUUCUCCCUCCCCGGGGCGCUAAGCCCGCCGGCAGCCUACUAUACUCUGUCUCUUUGCGUUGGCAUCUCGAGUACAAACAAACAAGUUAAAACUUUCAACAACGGAUCUCUUGGUUCUG